AUUGAACGCUGGCGGCAGGCCUAACACAUGCAAGUCGAGCGGAGCGGGGGACGGGGGCGUAAUGCCUAGGAAUCUGCCUGGGAGUGGGGGAUAACGUCCGGAAAUGGGCGCUAAUACCGCAUACUCUCAGAUGAGCCUAGGUCGGAUUAGCUAGUGGGUGGGGUAAAGGCCUACCAAGGCGACGAUCCGUAACUGGUCUGAGAGGAUGAGCAGUCACACUGGAACUGAGACACGGUCCAGACUCCUACGGGAGGCAGCAGUGGGGAAUAUUGGACAAUGGGCGAAAGCCUGAUCCAGCCAUGCCGCGUGUGUGAAGAAGGUCUUCGGAUUGUAAAGCACUUUAAGUUGGGAGGCGUUACCCACAGAAUAAGCACCGGCUAACUUCGUGCCAGCCGCCGCGGUAAUAC
rnacentral:rRNA from 1 species